GCGCUGGUGGUGUACGGCGUAGCAUCGCUACCUGUAAAGUAGAAGGUGCUGGUUCGACUUCCGCCUGGCGCA
rnacentral:tRNA from 1 species